CCUACGGGAGGCAGCAGUGGGGAAUAUUGGGCAAUGGGCGCAAGCCUGACCCAGCAACGCCGCGUGAAGGAAGAAGGCUUUCGGGUUGUAAACUUCUUUUCUCAGGGACGAAGCAAGUGACGGUACCUGAGGAAUAAGCCACGGCUAACUACGUGCCAGCAGCCGCGGUAAUACGUAGGUGGCAAGCGUUAUCCGGAUUUACUGGGUGUAAAGGGCGUGUAGGCGGGAAAGCAAGUCAGAGGUGAAAACCAUGGGCUCAACCUGUGGCCUGCAUUUGAAACUGUUUUUCUUGAGUACUGGAGAGGCAGCCGGAAUUCCUAGUGGAGCGGUGAAAUGCGUAGAGAUUAGGAGGAACACCAGUGGCGAAGGCGGUCUGCUGGACAGCAACUGACGCUGAGGCGCGAAAGCGUGGGGAGCAAACAGGAUUAGAUACCCCAGUAGUC
rnacentral:rRNA from 1 species